rnacentral:lncRNA from 1 species
GCUUCACUAAUAUACCCAAAAUAGGGAUUGAAAUUAUAAAAAAAACCCCACAUGGAAUCCACUUUAGAAACACACCCAAAAUUUAUUUACUACAUAAUAAAUUAGUGUUGAUGUUCCUAUAAAUUACAUGACUGCCAUUAAUUAACUUAAAAUAAGCCCAACACAAAAAACUCAAAAAAAAUCCAAAACAAGCCCAGCAAGCCCGAAAUACAUUGUUAAUACCAUAUCAUAGAAGUACAUUGAUAAUAUCAUGUCAUAGAAGUAUAUUGUUAAUACCAUCUCAUACAAAAAACUCAAAAAACCCAAAAAAAAGCCCAGCAAGACAUCCAAUAUCCUUUGUAGAAACCGCCUCCAAUUGUUCACAGUUUCACCAGAAACAAUCGCAAAGGCAAAAGGAAAUACCUUUACAAGAAGAAAAAAACACUGUUAAUACUAUGUCAUAACACGAUCUUCUUAUGCAUAUCAUAAACUUCAAGUGCAUAGCUAUAUAUAGAGCAAAAUAUAAAGCAUGCUUUGUUACUGAAAAUUUGUUAAUACUAUGCCAUAAAAGUACACUGUUAAUAUUAUGUCAUAGAAGUGCAC